UGUGUCCAACAAACCACAGAGCCACACGU
rnacentral:piRNA from 1 species